ensembl:lncRNA
GGUCUUUCUGUUUCUAAGUGGAAGCUGAAUUAGUGAGGAUGACUCCUGCUCCUGUCAUCUCUAAGCUCCUCACACAUCUUUACCUGCACAUGAGGAAAAUCACUCCUGUAGAAUGCAGUGGUUCAUCAGAACCUCUGGGGAUGUCCUGUGGAUUCUGUGGAUCCUGUGGGUUGCAGGGUGGGUCCUACCGAGACCAGACUGAUCCUGGACCAUCCCACAGAUGCUCCAUCAGAUCUGGAUGUGGGGAGUGUGGAACCCAGAUGUUCAGAGGGAGAUGAUGCCACAUCUGGUCCAGCUGAUGGAAGGUCUUGAAGUUCUCUGACUGGCCUCGACUGAAGAUGGUCGUCUCACUGUAUUUAAGGUUCAGAUGCUCAGUAACAAACUCCACCAAUGUGCCAACAGGGAAGCUUUAGGUUUAUUAAAUGUUGCUAUGAAGGUAUCGCUGUUUUUCUUUGUGAAUGCAAUGUGUUCCAACUGAAACUUGAAUUAGAACUUAGAAGUAAAUCCUUCCAUCUGAAAGGAUCUAGUUGCAUUAAUAACCUCAUAACAUUCUAAUUUUUAUUCCAGUCUUGGUUGGAAAUAGAAUCUCUGUAUUGAUUCAGGUAAAAACUGAACUUCACAGCAUGUUGGAGCAAAACAACCAGAUGAAAACUGUGAUGGUGUUGGAUUGUCAGACCGUAAUGUUGCAGCUCAAAGCAGCUUUUCUAUCUCAGUUCAUUCUGACAUUCAGCUAUGAAUCAACACAGCAGAUGGUGAUCCAUGCUGUGGAAGUCUCACAUCUCCUGAUUUAAUGGAGCUGCUUUGCACUUUUUACACUGUUUAUUCACCAACACUUUAUUUAAUAAAAGUCCCAUCUAGUUUUUAUGAGGAAUGUGAUGUUUUAAUUUCUCUGUGAAUAACUGCAGUCUAAUGCAACAGCUGGAGUUGUAACAUCUGUCCUGAUAUUGAUCAUGAAGUAUUGAUCAGAAUACUUAUGGUUAGCAGUCAUCCCUGAAGUUUUAUAUUAAAAUCUUUACUUGUGUUGUGAACUUUGGUAAGAAGCAGAAACUUUUGCGUUGCCAUGGAUACAUGAGUGUUAAAUUCUGUCCAUGUUUCCAUUUUGGGAAAUUCAGUCCAGUACCAGAAUGUGGAGGAAUUUAGUCUCACAAUCACAGACAACAAAUAUUAUCUGAAAGUCGGGUUAUUGUUGUUUAUCAGCACAAUACAAAAAGAUUAAUGUUAGAAAUAUUCCAGUUAAGACUCUAAAAUAUUAUGAUUUAUGUAAAUUUACCUCAACAAUAUGAAUGUUCAGGUUAAGAUUGUGCAGUGAUAUUUAUUAUGUAAGUUUAGCUGAUUAAAGUUUAUGACUCUGCACUAAAAUAUUAUUUAAAUUUACAUCAUUAUUAUAAUAUUUAGGGUCAGACCUUACAGUAUUGAGAUUAAGAAAUCAAAUAUUCUAUAAAAUAUAAAUACACUGAAUUCAUUUGGAUAUAUUUAAGUGAGACUCUACAAUAUUAUUUGACACAAAUCUAUCUAAAUCAAAAUUUUAAUAAUUUUCAUGCCAAACAUUUACUGGACUGAUUUAAAUAUUAAAAUCACUCCUUUCUAAUCCUCUGCUGUACGUUCAAACCUGAGGCCUUAAAUAGAAACACACAAGUAUCUGUUUGAAGGAACUUCUGCAGAGUCCUGGUUCCAGAACAUGAUGAUAGAAUUAUAGACAAACUUUAACAAAAGCUGCCUGAGAGUUUACAGGUUUUUAUGUUGGAUUUCUUCAGUAAUUUAAUGAGCGUUAUCAGCAAAUAUCAAGUGUUCAUUUGAUGAUUUCAUUUCCUAAAACAUCCAGAAUUGGAGCUCAUAUCUUUGGCAGCUGUAAAUUUUCUGCUCUUUCAAAGUUCACAACACAAUGAAUGAAUUCCUAAAACACUCUCAAUGCUGGAGAGCGUUUGUGAUGCUGAAGCAGUGAUCAGUUUUUCUGUUUCUUCUCUGGAGAUGCACAAUGAGGGACGUCUGCAGAGACUGAGAAAGAGUCUCACCACAUCCUGACAUGAGGAAAAAGACUUUAUUGAAGACUACAAUGAGAAAAACUAUCAGACAGCAGACGGCAUGCAUUCAAAGUGAGCUCUGAACAUUUGAUCUGGAACAGGAAUUCAAUCACGGCAGCAUGAGUUUCAUUUUAGUCUGUAGCUGCUGAAUUCAUGGAUGAAUCAUCUGGCACUAGAGAAGAAGACCAUUAAACAUCCACGUCAGCUGAUGGAGGUCCAAGAGUCUCACCAAACAACCAACCUACAGAGUGAAGACCUCAAAUCUGAUUGGACAGCCUCCUAUUCAGCCACGCUACAGGAGGAGUCCUACGAGGACGAGCCGGUCCACCUGAUGGCGGCCAGUCGCUGCGGUUCAAAGCCAACACCGACUACGUGGACUUCUACUGGACCACACGGAGGCCUUCAAACCGGACCAACAAGUUCAACGACUCCCCGACUCGUGGGUCUGAGGACGCCGCCGAGCCUCGGUCCAGCCGGCCUCCUGUCUGUGGAUGUUUGAGUGCUGAGAGGUUUGUGGAUGCAUGUGAACGUGUCUGUGUUGAAACAGCAGCUUUUGACUCAGUAACGCCAGGAAAAACCAAGAGCUCCUUUAUUUGUGACUUCC